UUGUACGGCGAGCGAACCGGAAAGAGCCCAGCUUGAAAAUCGCGGCGCCUCGCGCCGCGAGUUGUGGUCUGGAGAAGGCUCCUCUGCGCCGCGCCGGGCCCAAGUUCCCUGGAAAGGGACGUCAUCGAGGGUGACAACCCCGUCCGCGCCCGGAACGCGUCGCUCCACGAGGACCUGUCGGCGAGUCGGGCUGUUUGGGAAUGCAGCCCUAAGCGGGAGGUAAAUUCCUUCCAAGGCUAAAUACGGGCAGGAGACCGAUAGCGAACAAGUACCGCGAGGGAAAGAUGAAAAGGACUUUGAAAAGAGAGUUAAAAAGUGCUUGAAAUUGCUGGGAGGGAAGCGAAUGGAAGCCGCGGGUGCGCCCCGGUUGGAUGCGGAACGGUUUGCAAAGGCUGGUCCGCCGCUCAACGCGGGGCGCUGGUCAGCGUGGGCCGUGNNNCCGGGACAAGAGCGGGGUGUGUUCCCCGCCGAUGCCGGCGCGGCGGCCGAGGCACGAAGCGCGCGCCUUUAGGCGUGGGGAAACCCGACUGCGCGCUCGGGACGCUGGCGUACUGGGCUCUCCAUCCGACCCGUCUUGAAACACGGACCAAGGAGUCUAACAUGCAUGCGAGCCGGUGGGCGGCAAACCCAUUGAGGCGCAAGGAACCUGACAGGUGGGACCCCGACCGCGAGGGA
rnacentral:rRNA from 1 species